rnacentral:tRNA from 1 species
CAGGGAGACAACAAAAUGUUUAAUAUUAUUAUUUUGUCACCUUAGGUCGAUCGGUAUCUCACAUUUUUAAUUUUUUAAGAAUUUCAUUUCCUAAGUUUUUCUAGGUCACACCCAUUAUUUUUCCUGGGCCAUUAGCUCAGGUGGUUAGAGCGCACCCCUGAUAAGGGUGAGGUCCCUGGUUCAAGUCCAGGAUGGCCCAUAUCUCUAUGUUGGGGGUAUAGCUCAGUUGGUAGAGCGCCUGCUUUGCAAGCAGGAUGUCAGCGGUUCGAGUCCGCUUACCUCCACUGAUUACCACCUCUUCCAUAAUCUGUAGAAAGGAAAUGUUUUGAGUUGUGAUCAAAUUCUGAACGAAUCUAGCUUCCUAAUGAAAUCAUUAAGAUGCUGGACUCAUUGAAUUAAUUUCAUUGUUUUCAGAGAACCUUGACAACUGCAUAGAUUAUUUUUAAAGACAAUAAGCAUCUUUAAUGAUGCAGAUUUAUUAUUUGUGCAAAUGCAUUAAUAACAAUUCUAUUAAGCUGAUGCUUCAUAUUGAAGUUAUU